rnacentral:rRNA from 1 species
UUAAAUUGAAGAGUUUGAUCAUGGCUCAGAUUGAACGCUGGCGGCAGGCCUAACACAUGCAAGUCGAACGGUAACAGGAAGAAGCUUGCUUCUUUGCUGACGAGUGGCGGACGGGGGAGUAAUGUCUGGGAAACUGCCUGAUGGAGGGGGGUAACUACUGGAAACGGUAGCUAAUACCGCAUAACGUC